rnacentral:rRNA from 1 species
AGAGUUUGAUCAUGGCUCAGGAUUAACGCUGGCGGCGUGCCUAACACAUGCAAGUCGAGCGAGAACUUGGAAGUGAAUAUUUCUAUUGGAACAGAAAAUGGAAAGCGGCAAACGGGUGAGUAACGCGUGAAUAAUCAACCCUGCCCAAAGGGAUAGCCUCGGGAAACCGGGAUUAAUACCAUAUGAAGUAUAUUAAUCUAAUGAUAGAUAUAUUAAAGUUUUUAACGGUACAGGACGAGUUCGCGUCCCAUUAGCUAGUUGGUGAGAUAACAGCUUACCAAGGCGACGAUGGGUACCCGGCCUGAGAGGGUGAACGGCCACCCUGGAACUGAAACACGGUCCAAACUCCUACGGGAGGCAGCAGUGGGGAAUAUUGCACAAUGGAGGAAACUCUGAUGCAGCGACGCCGCGUGAGAGAAGAAGGCUUUCGAGUCGUAAAGCUCUGUCCU